CCCCAAGUGGCUCAGCAGUAAAGAAUCUGCCUGCCAAGCAGGAGGCACGGGUUCGAUCCCUGGGUUGGGAA
rnacentral:tRNA from 1 species